AGCGAACGCUGGCGGCAGGCCUAACACAUGCAAGUCGAGCGGACGUAGCAAUACGUCAGCGGCAGACGGGAGAGUAACACGUGGGAACGCGCCCUUCGGUUCGGGAUAACUCAGGGAAACUUGGGCUAAUACCGGAUACGCCCCUACGGGGAAAGAUUUAUUGCCGAAGGAACGGCCCGCGUCCGAUUAGCUUGUUGGUGAGGCAACGGCUCACCAAGGCGACGAUCGGUAGCUGGUCUGAGAGGAUGACCAGCCUCACUGGGACUGAGACACGGCCCAGACUCCUACGGGAGGCAGCAGUGGGGAAUAUUGGACAAUAGGCGCAAGCCUGAUCCAGCCAUGCCGCGUGGGUGAUGAAGGCCCUAGGGUUGUAAAGCCCUUUCGGCGGGGAAGAUAAUGACGGUACCCGCAGAAGAAGCCCCGGCUAACUUCGUGCCAGCCGCCGCAGUAAAAC
rnacentral:rRNA from 1 species